CCAACCCGGUGCCGCCAGUAAGAAUCCAAGCCGCCUUUCGUUUCUUUAUACUUACCAAUGCUCUUGGUUUGAAAUUCACUUCUAUUCAUGAGAAAAGUGAUCCAUUUUGGCGAAGGGGCCCCAAAGUGACCGCCCAAAAGAACACCAAGCCGCCACCAAAGAAGAAGAAGAAAACAAGCAAAAGUAAAGCCGCCGCCAAAGAUUUAUCUAAUCUCGGCGAGUCACGAGCUGAGGAAGAGUAGUCAGAGGGCGAGGACAAUGAGAGCCAAGAUGAUGCGGUCGAGAAAGCAAGAUAUACCCCCAAGCGCAAAACCCGUAGUCACUCUGGGGACUUAAUCUCCGGACUGCCCGAGAAGACAACCGGUCGGAAGCGCACCAGCGAGAGUUCUCCCCCUACAUCUGGCGACUCAGCAAUGUCAGCUC